rnacentral:rRNA from 1 species
AUGGAAACUAAUCCUUUGAGGGGCUUGUUUGGGGUAUCUUCACCCCGACCAGAAGAGCAAAUAGUUGCUCCUCAACCUACUGAACCUAAUGAAAAUAUUUGCUUUGAGAUUCCUUCAGGUAUGAUAGAGAAACUGCUAGCUAAUCCAUUUGCAGGAGAUGGAACAUUGCAUCCCGAUUUACACCUUAUCUUUGUGGAUGAAGUUUGUGGAUUAUUUAAGUUUGCAGGUAUUCCCGAUGAUGUUGUCAAAAGGAAGGUCUUCCCUUUAUCUUUGAAGGGGGGUGCAUUGACAUGGUAUAGGCUAUGUGAUGGUAUGGGAUCUUGGAAUUAUAAACAAUUGAAGUUGGAAUUUCACCAGAAGUUCUAUCAUAUGCAUCUUGUUCAUCGUGAUCGUACUUACAUAUAUAAUUUCUGGCCUCGCGAAGGAGAAAGCAUCGCUCAAGUUAGGGGGGGGGCUUAA